GACGAACCGUGCAAACGUUAUUCGGAAUCACUGGGCUUAAAGCGCGUGUAGGCGGGACGGCACGUUGGUCGCUGAAAGCCCCCGGCUCAACCGGGGAACUGGCGCCGAUACGACCGUCCUGGAGGAACGUAGGGGGACCUGGAACUUCCGGUGGAGCGGUGAAAUGCGUUGAGAUCGGAAGGAACGCCCGUGGCGAAAGCGAGGUCCUGGACGUUUUCUGACGCUGAGACGCGAAAGCCAGGGUAGCGAACGGG
rnacentral:rRNA from 1 species